CAAGUCGAGCGGAACGAGUUAUCUGAACCUUCGGGGAACGAUAACGGCGUCGAGCGGCGGACGGGUGAGUAAUGCCUAGGAAAUUGCCCUGAUGUGGGGGAUAACCAUUGGAAACGAUGGCUAAUACCGCAUGAUGCCUACGGGCCAAAGAGGGGGACCUUCGGGCCUCUCGCGUCAGGAUAUGCCUAGGUGGGAUUAGCUAGUUGGUGAGGUAAGGGCUCACCAAGGCGACGAUCCCUAGCUGGUCUGAGAGGAUGAUCAGCCACACUGGAACUGAGACACGGUCCAGACUCCUACGGGAGGCAGCAGUGGGGAAUAUUGCACAAUGGGCGCAAGCCUGAUGCAGCCAUGCCGCGUGUGUGAAGAAGGCCUUCGGGUUGUAAAGCACUUUCAGUCGUGAGGAAGGUGGCGUCGUUAAUAGCGGCGUUGUUUGACGUUAGCGACAGAAGAAGCACCGGCUAACUCCGUGCCAGC
rnacentral:rRNA from 1 species